ACCCCCUGUGACUACCUUAAUGUUGCCUCGGCGGAUCAGCCCGCGCCCCGUAAAACGGGACGGCCCGCCAGAGGACCCAAACUCUAAUGUUUCUUAUUGUAACUUCUGAGUAAAACAAACAAAUAAAUCAAAACUUUCAACAACGGAUCUCUUGGUUCUGGCAUCGAUGAAGAACGCAGCAAAAUGCGAUAAGUAAUGUGAAUUGCAGAAUUCAGUGAAUCAUCGAAUCUUUGAACGCACAUUGCGCCCGCUGGUAUUCCGGCGGGCAUGCCUGUUCGAGCGUCAUUUCAACCCUCAAGCCCCCGGGUUUGGUGUUGGGGAUCGGCUCUGCCUUCUGGCGGUGCCGCCCCCGAAAUACAUUGGCGGUCUCGCUGCAGCCUCCAUUGCGUAGUAGCUAACACCUCGCAACUGGAACGCGGCGCGGCCAUGCCGUAAAACCCCAACUUCUGAAUGUUGACCUCGGAUCAGGUAGGAAUACCCGCUGAACUUAAGCAUAUC
rnacentral:rRNA from 1 species